rnacentral:tRNA from 1 species
GGUUGGUUCAUUGGUAGAAUUCUCGCCUUCCAUGUGGGAAGCCCGGGUUCGACUCCUGGCCA